rnacentral:lncRNA from 1 species
UUUUUUUUUGCGUCUCUCCCCUCCCGUCCUCGCCGACGCAGCGGCUCUCGGAGAUGGGGGCCGGGUGCUGAGCCCGCCGCCCCCAGCACUCGCAGCCCCGCCGGGAUCGUUUGCACUUCCCCCCCCGCGCACCCCCGGUGCUGAUCCAGCAAACGUUUAAAGGUCGCCUUAUCGUGCAGGCUGUCACAUAUUCCCAUACCAUCUUGGGGAGAGCGCGAGCGGCUUGGAAAUAGUGUUCCAGCCUUUAAAAGGAGAUUACUUGGAGCAGGAAAUAACAGUGAACAAGAGCACUCAAGGUGAAGGAUAAUAAUCAACUAGCAUCAGCACUUUGAAGGAAAUUUUGUUUCCCUGUGGCAUCUUGAACACUUUCUUCGUGUUUUGAAACAGACUUAU